GGGCCAUUGGCUCAGUGGGUAGGACAUCGGCCUUGCAUGCAGGGGUCCCAGGUUCAAUCUCUGGAAUCUCCA